GCUAACAUGCAAGUCGAACGAUGAAGCCCAGCUUGCUGGGUGGAUUAGUGGCGAACGGGUGAGUAACACGUGAGUAACCUGCCCUUGACUCUGGGAUAAGCGCUGGAAACGGCGUCUAAUACCGGAUACGACCUGCCCCGGCAUCGGGUGCGGGUGGAAAGUUUUUCGGUCAAGGAUGGACUCGCGGCCUAUCAGCUAGUUGGUGAGGUAAUGGCUCACCAAGGCGACGACGGGUAGCCGGCCUGAGAGGGUGACCGGCCACACUGGGACUGAGACACGGCCCAGACUCCUACGGGAGGCAGCAGUGGGGAAUAUUGCACAAUGGGCGAAAGCCUGAUGCAGCAACGCCGCGUGGGGGAUGACGGCCUUCGGGUUGUAAACCUCUUUUAGUAGGGAAGAAGGGCUUCGGCUUGACGGUACCUGCAGAAAAAGCACCGGCUAACUACGUGCCAGCAGCCGCGGUAAUACGUAGGGUGCAAGCGUUGUCCGGAAUUAUUGGGCGUAAAGAGCUCGUAGGCGGUUUGUCGCGUCUGCUGUGAAAACCCGAGGCUCAACCUCGGGCCUGCAGUGGGUACGGGCAGACUAGAGUGCGGUAGGGGAGAAUGGAAUUCCUGGUGUAGCGGUGGAAUGCGCAGAUAUCAGGAGGAACACCGAUGGCGAAGGCAGUUCUCUGGGCCGUUACUGACGCUGAGGAGCGAAAGCGUGGGGAGCGAACAGGAUUAGAUACCCUGGUAGUCCACGCCGUAAACGUUGGGAACUAGAUGUGGGGACCUUUCCACGGUCUCCGUGUCGCAGCUAACGCAUUAAGUUCCCCGCCUGGGGAGUACGGCCGCAAGGCUAAAACUCAAAGGAAUUGACGGGGGCCCGCACAAGCGGCGGAGCAUGCGGAUUAAUUCGAUGCAACGCGAAGAACCUUACCAAGGCUUGACAUAUACCGGAAACUUCCAGAAAUGGUUGCCCCGCAAGGUCGGUAUACAGGUGGUGCAUGGUUGUCGUCAGCUCGUGUCGUGAGAUGUUGGGUUAAGUCCCGCAACGAGCGCAACCCUCGUUCUAUGUUGCCAGCACGUCAUGGUGGGAACUCAUAGGAGACUGCCGGGGUCAACUCGGAGGAAGGUGGGGAUGACGUCAAAUCAUCAUGCCCCUUAUGUCUUGGGCUUCACGCAUGCUACAAUGGCCGGUACAAAGGGCUGCGAUACCGUAAGGUGGAGCGAAUCCCAAAAAGCCGGUCUCAGUUCGGAUUGAGGUCUGCAACUCGACCUCAUGAAGUCGGAGUCGCUAGUAAUCGCAAUC
rnacentral:rRNA from 1 species